rnacentral:lncRNA from 1 species
GCAUACUCCAUUACUAUGCUGAUCGAUAAAUCCCUGAGGUAGGUCUUAUAGAGGCUUGACGCCUCGAGAAGGUUGACCAAGUGGACUGUGGAGCCUAGAGAGUUCGAUAUUCACUAUUGACCCUGACCAUCCAUUAAGAUCCAAGUGCUAGCGGAUUUUCUUAUGGAAUGUAUCCUCCCAGAGGAGAUCAAGACUGCACCGGAGUCUUCUGAUUCUGCACCAAUGACCUGCUAGAUACUACAUGUUGACAAAUCAUCCAAUGCCAGAGAUGUUGGGGCUAGAAUGAUCCUCAUCAGUCCCGAUGGUACUGUGGC